GACGAACGCUGGCGGCGUGCUUAACACAUGCAAGUCGAACGGAAAGGCCCUGCUUUUGUGGGGUGCUCGAGUGGCGAACGGGUGAGUAACACGUGAGUAACCUUCCCUUGACUUUGGGAUAACUUCAGGAAACUGGGGGUAAUACCGGAUAGGAGCUCCUGCUGCAUGGUGGGGGUUGGAAAGUUUCGGCGGUUGGGGAUGGACUCGCGGCUUAUCAGCUUGUUGGUGGGGUAGUGGCUUACCAAGGCUUUGACGGGUAGCCGGCCUGAGAGGGUGACCGGCCACAUUGGGACUGAGAUACGGCCCAGACUCCUACGGGAGGCAGCAGUGGGGAAUAUUGCACAAUGGGCGGAAGCCUGAUGCAGCAACGCCGCGUGCGGGAUGACGGCCUUCGGGUUGUAAACCGCUUUCGCCUGUGACGAAGCGUGAGUGACGGUAAUGGGUAAAGAAGCACCGGCUAACUACGUG
rnacentral:rRNA from 1 species